rnacentral:lncRNA from 1 species
UACCAUUGGCAUUUGGCAGUUUUGCCUUGACACCUUUACACGAUACUGGGUGGGGAGAGAAACAUUACUUGUGUGGUGAGCGAACCUAGACUAAGAUUCUAAGGUUGGGUUUUAUGCAUGCACUAGAAAAGCAGAACGAUUAGAGGUCGUCAAAUGCAUCUCACCUCUCAAUGGGAGAGGGUUCAGCUUUUGGGGUCGGUCUUUG